rnacentral:misc_RNA from 1 species
AUCACUAUUCGAUUGACUCCAAGUCAGAAUCAUACAGAUUUUCUGUACAAUAUAUUUUGCUGUGAAGGAAUACAAUGGUUCACUUAAGCGACAUGAAGAAGCCCAUUAGUUGUACUGUGAUCGGGGACGGGAUGGUGGGAAAGACUUGCCUGUCCGAGGUGUUCUCCGGGCAGACCAUGCCCCAGGAAUACGUAUCCACCGUGUUUAACAAUUACGCCGGGAAGUCCACGGUGGGAGGGGAUAAAUAUGUUGUCAGCAUAUUUGAUUCAGCGGGAGAGGUAAGCAUCAACUGUACAGCCUAUUCUUUGAACUAGUUUAAUAUUCUUACCUUUAACAAGUAGAAAUUUUAAAAAAAUGUGUAAGUAGCAAUGUUAUUUAUUUUGUUCAUUUUUUGUCUUUCCAGCACGAGUACACAGAACUGCGAUCCUUCAGUUACAAGGACAGCGAAGUCCUGCUCCUGUGUUUCUCUGUGUCCGAUAGAGACUCAUUCGAGAGCGUGAAGGAUUUCUGGGCCCCUGAAGUCAAAGACUUUCUUGGAAAACGUGUCCCCAUUAUCGUUGUGGCUACCCAGACGGACACCCGCUCAGACCUUGGGGGAGACGUCAGCACCGAGGAGGGUCAGAGAAUGGCCAAAGAGAUCGGGGCCGAGCGCUACUUGGAGUGUUCGUGCUCAGACCAGCAGAGUGUACACAGUGUGUUUGAGAACGUUGUGCUCACGGCGCUCAAACAAAGGAAGAGAAUGGGAAACAUCUUCCGCCGGGUCCUGGGACGAUGAACUUUCUGAUAUGUGACAGUUUUUGGUUCACUUUUUGGACGUACAUCCCAUGCGUCCGUUUCAUAACGCUAACUGCGGGAAUAUAUUACCGGCACCGGUCAAGGACGACAGUGAAGUACCCAGGUAGAAACUACUGAUAAGACUUCAGGAAUCUAAGGACAAUUGGCAACCUUUGGACCGGUUCGGACCAAACCCAGACCAGUGACCUCAAAUGACCACGUGUGCUUUGUCGGACUUUCGUUUUGCGCACUCAGUCAAGGCGUGGUUUUUCCAAAGCAGUGUACCAGUUCCUGGUAGAGCGGAGAGAGAUAUUUCAUUUCUAUGUAAUGUCAUGAAGACAUUUAAAUCAAUUAUCAUAGUCAGGCUGUAGUUUUAUGUUCUGGUUUUCAAAUAAAUGAUGCAUUUAACG